ensembl:miRNA
UCCGUGGCUGAGUGGUUAAGUUCACGCACUCUGGGAUUUCAUUGGUUGGAAUCCUAGGAGCGGACAUGACACAGCUCAUCGAGUCGCGCUAAGGU